rnacentral:lncRNA from 1 species
AAAAAGGAAGAUUAGGAGAGAGAAACAAAGAAGUAAGAUAUUCAAAGGACAAAAGUAUAGAAAAUUAAAAGAUAUAAUAAAUAGAAAAGCGUGACACGCUUUGGUAAUGAUCUUCAUCAGCUUUAUCUUAUACAUAUAAGAUAGACCCAUAUUGGAUAGUGCGAAAGCUGAUGAGAUGUGCUAUGAUCGGAGUUGGUGGGUGGUGAUGGGUUCAUCAACCUUGUUUGCGACGACCAAAAAUAUUCGCCAUGUUGAUUUUGGAUGGCCUAUUAGGACUUGAUGAAGCACCAUUUGAUGAAGAAGUGCUUGCUGAUGGGUUUGGCCACAAAGAACCUUUUAUGGUAGGCAAGGUGAUUGAACUUUGUGAUGUGUUAUUAUUGUUUGAGGUUUGAUUAUUAGUAGAAGGUCGAUUGGUUGGACACAAACAAUCUCUUAUUUGAUUCCUCUUUGGGUCACCCAUUUUAUGGUAUAUAACCAAAUUAAAGGAAACAAGAGAUUAGGGAUAAUGAAAUGAAGAACAAAAGUUUUCAAGCUUAGAGAAAGAGAGAAAUGAGAGAGUUGGAAGAAAGGGGUGUGCUGUGGCCAAAAUUUAUAGGCAAAAGAACGUUCUAGAUUGGUUUAAAAUUUGCCCUACUUGGUGAAUUUAAUUUUACUUGCAUUUCACUCUCA